AACGUAGGGGGCAAGCGUUGCCCGGAUUCACUGGGCGUAAAGCGGGUGUAGGCGGUUCUUUAAGUCAGAUGUGAAAUCCUGCGGCUCAACCGCGGAACUGCAUCUGAUACUGGGGAACUUGAGGACGGUAGAGGUCGGUGGAAUCCCCGGUGUACCGGUGAAAUGGGCAGAUAUCGGGGGGAACACCAGUGGCGAAGGCGGCCGACUGGGCCGAUCCUGACGCUGAGGAGCGAAAGCAUGGGGAGCGAACAGG
rnacentral:rRNA from 1 species